rnacentral:rRNA from 1 species
GACGAACGCUGGCGGCGUGCCUAAUACAUGCAAGUAGAACGCACAGUUUAUACCGUAGCUUGCUACACCAUAUACUGUGAGUUGCGAACGGGUGAGUAACGCGUAGGUAACCUGCCUGGUAGCGGGGGAUAACUAUUGGAAACGAUAGCUAAUACCGCAUAAUAUUAAUUAUUGCAUGAUAAUUAAUUGAAAGUUGCAAUUGCACCACUACCAGAUGGACCUGCGUUGUAUUAGCUAGUAGGUGAGGUAACGGCUCACCUAGCGGACGAUACAUAGCCGACCCGCGAGGGGGCGAUGCCAAACUGGGAUGGGGAGACGGCCAGGACCACUACGGGAGGGAGAAGUAGGGGAUUCCCGGCGAUGGAAGAAAGUCGGACCGAGCGACGCCGCGUGAGUGAAGAAGGUAUUCGGAUCGCAAAGCUCUGUUGGAAGAGAAGAUCGGGUGUGAGUGUGGAAAGUGCACACUGUGACGGUAUCUUAACAGAAAGCGACGGCUAACUACGUG